GACGAACGCUGGCGGCGUGCUUAACACAUGCAAGUCGAACGGUGACGAGGAGCUUGCUCCUCUGAUCAGUGGCGAACGGGUGAGUAACACGUGAGUAACCUGCCCCAGACUCUGGGAUAACAGUUGGAAACAGCUGCUAAUACCGGAUACGAGACGGAGAGGCAUCUCUACCGUCUGGAAAGUUUUUCGGUCUGGGAUGGACUCGCGGCCUAUCAGCUUGUUGGUGAGGUAAUGGCUCACCAAGGCGACGACGGGUAGCCGGCCUGAGAGGGCGACCGGCCACACUGGGACUGAGACACGGCCCAGACUCCUACGGGAGGCAGCAGUGGGGAAUAUUGCACAAUGGGCGAAAGCCUGAUGCAGCGACGCCGCGUGAGGGAUGACGGCCUCGGUUGUAACCGUACUUCUAGCAGGAGGAAGACGAAGUAGACGGUACCGUGCAGAAGAAGACGACCGGCGUAACCGUAACCGUACGCCGACGCGACGACCGGCCGGUAAAACGUAAAGACGGUACG
rnacentral:rRNA from 1 species